UCAGGAUAGCUCAGUC
rnacentral:tRNA from 1 species